rnacentral:rRNA from 1 species
GCCUACGGGGGGCAGCAGUCGAGAAUUUUUCACAAUGGGCGCAAGCCUGAUGGAGCGACGCCGCGUGGGGGAUGAAUGGCUUCGGCCCGUAAACCCCUGUCAUUUGCGAUCAAACCUUGCUAUUUAAAAGAUGGCGAGCUGAUAGUAGCGAAAGAGGAAGGGACGGCUAACUCUGUGCCAGCAGCCGCGGUAAUACAGAGGUCCCAAGCGUUGUUCGGAUUCACUGGGCGUAAAGGGUGCGUAGGUGGUGAGGUAAGUCGGAUGUGAAAUCUCCGAGCUCAACUCGGAAAAUGCAUUGGAAACUACCUUGCUCGAGGAUUGGAGGGGGGACUGGAAUACUUGGUGUAGCAGUGAAAUGCGUAGAUAUCAAGUAGAACACCAGUGGCGAAGGCGAGUCCCUGGACAAUACCUGACACUGAGGCACGAAAGCUAGGGGAGCAAACAGGAUUAGAUACCCCGGU